GGAGGGUGCGAACGUUAAUCGGAAUGACUGGGCGUAAAGGGCAUGUAGGCGGAUAAUUAAGUUAGGUGUGAAAGCCCUGGGCUCAACCUAGGAAUUGCACUUAAAACUGGUUAACUAGAGUAUUGUAGAGGAAGGUAGAAUNCCACGUGUAGCGGUGAAAUCCGUAGAGAUGUGGAGGAAUACCGCUGGCGAAGGCGGCCUUCUGGACAGAUACUGACGCUGAGAUGCGAAAGCGUGGGGAGCAAACAGGAUUAGAUACCCUGGUAGUCCACGCUGUAAACGAUGUCGAUUUGGAGUUUGUUGCCUAGAGUGAUGGGCUCCGAAGUAACGCGAUAAAUCGACCGCCUGGGGAGUACGGCCGCAAGGUUA
rnacentral:rRNA from 1 species